rnacentral:tRNA from 1 species
GCCCAAAUAGCUCAGCUGGUAGAGCAUGUAACUCUUAAUCUCAAGAUCAUGAGGUUUAAGUCCCAUGUUGGGUA